GAUGAACGCUGGCGGCGUGCCUAAUACAUGCAAGUCGAGCGAACAGACGAGGAGCUUGCUCCUCUGACGUUAGCGGCGGACGGGUGAGUAACACGUGGAUAACCUACCUAUAAGACUGGGAUAACUUCGGAAAACCGGAGCUAAUACCGGAUAAUAUAUUGAACCGCAUGGUUCAAUAGUGAAAGACGGUUUUGCUGUCACUUAUAGAUGGAUCCGCGCCGCAUUAGCUAGUUGGUAAGGUAACGGCUUACCAAGGCAACGAUGCGUAGCCGACCUGAGAGGGUGAUCGGCCACACUGGAACUGAGACACGGUCCAGACUCCUACGGGAGGCAGCAGUAGGGAAUCUUCCGCAAAGGGCGAAAGCUUGACGGAGCAACGCCGCGUGAGUGAUGAAGGUCUUCGGAUCGUAAAACUCUGUUAUUAGGGAAGAACAAAUGUGUAAGUAACUGUGCACGUCUUGACGGUACCUAAUCAGAAAGCCACGGCUAACUACGUG
rnacentral:rRNA from 1 species